UACGGGAGGCAGCAGUGGGGAAUAUUGCACAAUGGGCGAAAGCCUGAUGCAGCUAUGCCGCGUGUAUGAAGAAGGCCUUAGGGUUGUAAAGUACUUUCAUCGGGGAGGAAAAACAAAACUAAUAAUUUUAUUUCUUGACGUUACCCGAAAAAGAAGCACCGGCUAACUCCGUGCCAGCAGCCGCGGUAAUACGGAGGGUGCUAGCGUUAAUCAGAAUUACUGGGCGUAAAGAGCACGUAGGUGGUUUUUUUAAGUCAGAUGUGAAAUCCCUGGGCUUAACCUAGGAACUGCAUUUUGAAACUGAAAUACUAGAGUAUCGUAGAGGGAGGUAGAAUUCUAGGUGUAGCGGUGAAAUGCGUAGAUAUCUGGAGGAAUACCUGUGGCGAAAGCGGCCGUCCUAAACGAAUACUGACACUGAGGUGCGAAAGCGUGGGGAGGCAAACAGGGAUUAGAGUACC
rnacentral:rRNA from 1 species